rnacentral:rRNA from 1 species
UACGUAGGGUGCAAGCGUUGUCCGGAAUUAUUGGGCGUAAAGAGCUCGUAGGCGGUUUGUCGCGUCGGCUGUGAAAACCUGGGGCUCAACCCCGGGCCUGCAGCCGAUACGGGCAAACUAGAAUUCGGUAGGGGAGACUGGAAUUCCUGGUGUAGCGGUGAAAUGCGCAGAUAUCAGGAGGAACACCGGUGGCGAAGGCGGGUCUCUGGGCCGAUAUUGACGCUGAGGAGCGAAAGCUAGGGGAGCAAACGGG